rnacentral:lncRNA from 1 species
UUGUUGAAUCCAAAAUAUCCCGCAGCUGGAAAAUCGUGGCGAGAUUGAAGAACUCGGAGUCGUCCUGGUCCUUUUGGGAUAUAUAACCGCUUUUCAAAGUAUAAAAGAUCUCCCUCCACCUUGAACUUGUCGUCAUUGGCACGCUGCUUAAUAUCAAUGGCUACUGAAUCUUCAAUGGUUACGGCACGUACCUGAUUCAGGAAGUCAGCAUCAAUUAGCAUAAUAGUAGCGCA